rnacentral:rRNA from 1 species
AUUGAACGCUGGCGGCAUGCCUUACACAUGCAAGUCGAACGGCAGCAUGGGUGCUUGCACCUGAUGGCGAGUGGCGAACGGGUGAGUAAUGCAUCGGAACGUACCCGGAAGUGGGGGAUAACGUAGCGAAAGUUACGCUAAUACCGCAUAUUCUGUGAGCAGGAAAGUGGGGGAUCGCAAGACCUCGCGCUUCCGGAGCGGCCGAUGUCGGAUUAGCUAGUUGGCGGGGUAAAGGCCCACCAAGGCAACGAUCCGUAGCGGGUCUGAGAGGAUGAUCCGCCACACUGGGACUGAGACACGGCCCAGACUCCUACGGGAGGCAGCAGUGGGGAAUUUUGGACAAUGGGGGCAACCCCGAUCCAGCCAUGCCGCGUGAGUGAAGAAGGCCUUCGGGUUGUAAAGCUCUUUCGGCCGGGAAGAAAUCGCACAGGUUAAUACCUUGUGUGGAUGACGGUACCGGAAUAAGAAGCACCGGCUAACUACGUGCCAGCAGCCGCCGUAAAAC